rnacentral:rRNA from 1 species
UCCCGUUGAUCCUGCGGGAGAGUGCUGCUAUUGGGUUCCUAAUUAGCCAUGCAAGUUCAGGGGAUUCUUCGGAAUCACCGGCAAAAGGCUCAGUAACACGUCGAUAAUCUGCCUUAUGGUCUUGGAUAGCCUUGAGAAAUUGAGGGUAAACCAGGAUAGAGGAUUGAGGCUGGAAUGCGCUUUCCUCCAAAAGCAAUGCCAUAAGAUGAGUCGGCGGCUGAUUAGGUUGUUGGUGAGGUAAAGGCUCACCAAGCCACAGAUCAGUAGGGGAGAUGAGAGUCUUAGCCCCGAGAAGGGCACUGAGACAAGGGCCCUAGCUCUAAGGAGUGCAGCAGGCAAGUAUUCUUUACAAUGCGCGAAAGCGUGAUAAGGGGAACCCAAGUGCUUACUAUUUAUAGUGGGCUUUUGCCAAGUGUAAAUAGCUUGGAGAAUAAGUGGUGGGAAAGACCGGUGCCAGCCGCCGCGGUAACCCCGGCGCCACCAGUGGCACUCGCGAUUAUUGGGCCUAAAGCAUUCGUAGCCGACAGAAUAAGUUUUUUGUGAAAUUGUUAAAAUAAACUUAACAACGUGCAGAAAAUACUAUUUUGUUAGAAACCGGGAGAAGGUAAAGGUAUUCCUUGGGUAGCGGUAAAAUGUUAUAAUCCUUGGAAGACCACCAAUGGCGAAGGCAUUUACCUAGAACGGAUUUGACGGUGAGGGAUGAAAGCUAUGGUAGCGAACCGGAUUAGAUACCCGAGUAGUCAUAGCUGUAAACGCUGCGAACUAAGUGUUGCAUAUUCUCCGUGAAUAUGCAGUGCUGGAGUGAAGAUGUUAAGUUCGCCGCCUGGGAAGUACGAUCGCAAGAUUGAAACUUAAAGGAAUUGGCGGGGGCACACUACAAGCAGUGGAAUGUGCGGUUCAAUUUGAUUCCACACAGAGCAUCUCACCAGAAGCGACGGCAGGAUGAAGGUUCAGAUUAAAGGUCUUACCUGACAAGCCGAGAGAUGGUGCAUGGCCGACGUCAGUUCGUGCCGUAAGGUGUGCUGUUAAGUCAGUUAACGAACAAGACCUACAUCUACUGUUGCUACCGAAUCUAUCAGAUGAUCGAGCACACUGUAGAGACUGCCCGUGUAAAUGGGAGGAAGGUGUAGGCAACGUUAGGUCUGUAUGCCUCGGAUCUUCUGGGCUACACGCGCAUUAUAAUGCCAAGGACAAUGGGAUACAACUCUGAAAAGAGAAGUCAAGCCUCGAAACCUUGGCCCAGUUCGGAUUGAGGGCUGUAACCCGCCCUCAUGAAGCCAGAAUUGCUAGUAAUCGGAUUUCAACAUGGUCCGGUGAAUAAGUCAAUGUGCCUUGCACACACCGCCCGUCAAGCCUACCGAGCAGGGUUUGUGUGAGAACUAAUUUCUUGAUUAGUUCGAACCUAAGUUCAGUAAGGUGGGCUAAGUCGUCACAAGGUA